UCCAUUCCAAAUUGUAAGAUG
rnacentral:miRNA from 1 species